AUUGAACGCUGGCGGCAGGCCUAACACAUGCAAGUCGAGCGGAUGAGGGGAGCUUGCUCCUCGAUUCAGCGGCGGACGGGUGAGUAAUGCCUAGGAAUCUGCCUAGUAGUGGGGGACAACGUUUCGAAAGGAACGCUAAUACCGCAUACGUCCUACGGGAGAAAGUGGGGGAUCUUCGGACCUCACGCUAUUAGAUGAGCCGAGGUCGGAUUAGCUAGUUGGUAGGGUAAAGGCCUACCAAGGCGACGAUCCGUAACUGGUCUGAGAGGAUGAUCAGUCACACUGGAACUGAGACACGGUCCAGACUCCUACGGGAGGCAGCAGUGGGGAAUAUUGGACAAUGGGCGAAAGCCUGAUCCAGCCAUGCCGCGUGUGUGAAGAAGGCCUUCGGGUCGUAAAGCACUUUAAGUUGGGAGGAAGGGCUCAUAGCGAAUACCUGUGAGUUUUGACGUUACCAACAGAAUAAGCACCGGCUAACUUCGUGCCAGCAGCCGCCGUAAGAC
rnacentral:rRNA from 1 species